CAGGCGUUCGCGUCAUCGUGCUGUUUUACUGUUUCGCCAGGCAGUGUGACAAACCGCUGCAACUAACAGACAACUGAUUCAUUCAUGUUGUUAUAACGUUGUGUUUGUACGUAAAGGUUACGAAAUAUCAGUGUUGUUCCUUAAUUUAUUAAAUAAAGACACCAGUUAACACUGGUGCGUGACGAUGGGUUUGUGUCUUUCGUUCGACGUCGGCGACUGUGAGGUCUGCUGCAACCCUUGUUGCCUGGCGCUGAGUGCUUGCUGCCUGGUGCCCUGCCUGUGUCCCAAUGCAUGCGGCCAGCAGCAACAACCGCCACAGCAAGUGACCGUGGUACAGCAGCCACCGCCAGUAGUGUACGAGCAACCUCCUCCGCCACCACCCGGCUACCCAUACCCGCCGCCCGGAGGAUACCCACCACAAGGCGGCUACCAAGGCUACCCCCCACCACAAGGAUACCCAGGCUACGACCCUAACCAAAUGUACAGAUGAAAAGCUUUUAGUUAAGAAUGUGUUGUAACAUUAGAUGUCGUCCUUGUUGCUGUUGCUGCGUGCCGUGCUGUUGCUGUGACUGUUGCAGCGAACCUCAGCGUCCAGUUGUAGUCCACACGAACGUCAUCGUGCAACAACCUAAGCCCGGUCAAGUGGCCCAGCCAACUGCACCUCCACCAUACAGAUAUUGAAAACCCUAACCUCAAAUGAUUUGGCAAACCGUUUAAACACGUGUAUAGCUUCUAAGAGAAAUGCUUGCAGAUAUAUUAGACAUUAUUAAUAGGGCUACCUCCGUAUUCUGUCACAAAAACUUAUUUUUAUACGUAAAGGGAUAAUGUACUUAUUUUAACUGUAAAAUGUUUUGUUCCCUUCAUUUGUACUUUGCUAGAAGGUGACAAAACAUUCUCCAUUAUAUUGAAUUAUUAUAGUUUAUAUUUAAAAUGGUUAUUAUCUAAAUAAUACUAAUGUAGAAUUUGUGUAAGUCUGUCUAAGCAGAUGAGGCAUCGAAUUAACAUUAUUUCAUGUGUCCAUUCUCUUUAGCAUUUGAUAUAAUCGUUUAUGCAAGUAUUUUGUACUAUCAAGAAUAUAUAAACUUGUGUUAUCAAGUAAAAUUUCAUUAUGUUCUGCCAAAUAACUCUUGGAUAUCGGGAACAGGGUAAAUGAUCUAUCCACCUAGUAAAACCUGGGGAUUCAUGGGAAAACAUAAAAGUUAUUUGUUUAAACAGUAAGUUAGUAAGCAGCAAUCAAGGAUACUAAAUGUUACACUGUAGAAAAACAUUGUUAAUAUAUAAAUAUUUUACCAAAUAAUUUAGAACAUUAUGUUAUUUUUAAGCAAGUAAAUGGUGGACUUUAUUUUGUACUGCGUUUCACAGCGUGGGAUGAAAGAUAAAGUUGUUAUCUAUAAUAUUUAACAUUUCUUUUCUAAGCUGUGAAAACUGAGAUAAGAGAUUGUAUAAAUAUUGUCAUUUAAAAGUAAACUUUAGUUUAAAGACAUUUAAUGCCAUUUUUACUGCAGCUGUUAAUUAUGUUAGCUUUACGUGCAUUAGUGAAGAAACCAUUUUUCUACAAUUUUUCUCUAGUAAUGUCGUUGUGAAAUCUUUCUACCUUCUAUUGUUAUCAUUUAAUCGAGGCUUCAAGAUAUGAAUUGUGUAUUUUUCCAAGUGUCUACGUUGAUAGGAGACACAUUUGUAAUUGUGAUAAUAUCGGUAGAAUAUACCUAUUUUACCUCGAUUGUAUAUAAUUUAAAACACAUAUUUAUAUAAAAUACAAUACAAAUAUAUAAUUGAAAAUACAUAUAGGCAUUGUGAUAAUAAAACAUAGUAGGCUUGUUGAACUUAUAUUUAUAAGAAAUACGAAUGUAUAGUUGUUCAAUGUACAGUUUGUUAUAUGAAGUAAAUAGGCAAAAUAACUAGACCUCAGUCAAAGUACGUAAGGAACUAGUUUUAUAUAGAUUUACAUAUUUAAAUAUUUAUCACACAUAUUACAAAAAAUAUUUUAUUACCUACGUAUUUAUUUAAUGAGAUAAAAUUAUAUUAAUGUU